AUUUUUUUUCAAUUGGGAGGACGCCCGGUGGCACUACUUGUGGUCAUAGAUCAUAUAAUUCUAUGAAAAAGGAAAAAAGUGCCAAAAAAUAUUUAAAAUUGGGUUUCGUGCUUUAUGGACGGCCCCAAACGAAAAAUAGAUGCCAAAUUCGUGUUCAGCGCCCCAAAAUUAUGUAAAUACCAAGUUUUUGUCGCAUUUAUCGACACUUUUUUUGCUUGGCCAGCCUUUGUAUGGAGUCGCCCCACUGUGCAACGGUAGUAUCGAAUAUUUUGCUUGACCGCACAUGAUAAAUUUGCACUCCGCUCUGCCCUUCUAAUGCCGCGUACCUCUAACAGCCAUGCUCCAUUCGCUACCGUGUGACGAACAAGAAUGAAGCUGAAUUUUCUACACGCAGUGUUUCGCAUCGAGUUGAGCGUAAAUAUUUGCGUUGAAGGCGUGGCCACGCAGUCUCGAGAAAGAGAAACGAAACAAAAUGCUUUGUUGAGUCAGAAUAUGUAGGCAGUGGAAUUUAUUCCGUCCAUGUUAUUGUUAUCUGUGCUCGGGAAGCAAGGCAAUAGCGAGGGAAAUAUAUGAGAAAGCUUGACCUUGGAACUUUUCACCUAUUUUCACCACUAAGCAGUAAAGCAACAAUGUUGAACAUUACAUCAAACAAUUGUCACACAUUUUAUCUAUCCACCGACCCAUAAAUAUCUAAGAUGGAUUAAAUCGUUCGCUUGCUAUAAUCGUUUGAAAUCUGACGCAACAUUCGCCAGUUUCAUUUUCAUGUUUACAAAAUGUAAUCUAGCACAGAAAACAAAGACGUAGUCCUACGUCAAAAAACUCAUCUGUUUUACUUUAAGUGUAUUACUUUCACGGUGACACCUUGUGUUGCAUAACAACGCUCGGCCCAAUAUUGCCAAAGUCGUUAACAUUGACACGCUCAAAUGGAAUGAGUUAUCUCAGCCGCCAUAUUCCCCAGAUAUUGCGCCGUGCGAUUACUACUUGCUUCAUUCGAUGGCACAUUGUCUGGCUGAUCAGCAAAUCUGCUUGUAUGAAGAUAUCAGAUAAUGACUGGAUUUGUGAAUAGCCUCAAAAGACAAACACUUAUAUCGUUACGAUUCUAGAACUCUUCCAGGAAAAUGAGACAAAGUUUUAGUUAGCGAUGGGCAAUAUUUUGAAUGAUUAAUCAUUUAACUAUUUUUUCGAAAUGAAAUUGCUUGCAUGAGCGUGUACUUAGUUGCGCAUCUAAUACAAAUUAACAUUCUCCUCGUAGCGGUUUUCUCGCUUCAAAAUCACCGACAUAAAGGUAUAAAAGAAUUGUCGAAGCGGAAACACGAUAACGACUUUCAACUCAGACAAUCAAAAAUGUUUAUCGCCACGCGAUAUCUUAUCAAAUCUUCAAACAGUGCCAGCCAAACACCAAUUGCCCUCCAUUAACGGUCCGCAAUGGUCAGUUCUGCAGAGCCAAAAUUACACAUACGGCGGAUCGCUUCCGAAUAAUAACAUAUAAUUUUAGGGGAACACUGUACAAACUAAAAUUCGCGCUUGCCAAAACAGUUCUGCUCAGAAUUUGUUGAAAUUAAAGCAUAAUUCAAACAGUGUCACAGCGCGAAAAGAGUGAAACAAAUUUCUAUUCGUGUCAGUCGCACAUCGGACACUCUACAAUGGGUAACUUCACCAGUCGACCAGUGGCAACCGCUCAACCGGAACGGGAUCCAACCAUAUCGGACAAACAAACACAAGAAGUGAAUGAGGAAGUAAUAGCGCCAGUGAAGGUUUCUCAGGCAUUCAAUGUCAUCUCAGCGCCCAAAGUUUGCCCACCGGGUUACAAACUGGACCAUCACGGAAAAUGUCGAAAAGUGCAAGAUUUUUAAGGAUAUAACAUUUUAAAAACUGCUGCUAAGCUCUCUUUUCUGAUACCGCGUAGCUGAUCCACGAAAUGCAUCAUCGUUUUCUGGCGUGUUCUCAUUUUGUCGCCAGGAAACUCAUUUUUAAAAUACAAAUGGGUGGGUAUAGAGCACUCUUAAGUAGGAUAGCCCACCGCAAUUUAAGCAUUUAAAAUUAGUAAAAACUACUAUCACAAUAUUGACUGCAGCUACAGUUACAGUAUUUCAGCUUGCUGUUUUUAAUGCAUUUUCAAUAUAUUGUAAAAUAUCUAGUUAUAUGGAAAUAUUAAACCUAAAGCCAUUGGCAGGCUUUCCAGUCGUACAAUGUUAA